AACGUACGCUGGCGGCACGCCUAAUACAUGCAAGUCGAACGCAGUAGCAAUACUGAGUGGCAGACGGGUGAGUAUAAUGUGGGAAUAUGCCUUUUGGUUUGGAAUAACUCGGGGAAACCUGAGCUAAUACCGGAUAAGCCCUUACGGGGAAAGAUUUAUCGCCGAAAGAUUAGCCCGCACUUGAUUAGCUUGUUGGUGAGGUAAAAGCUCACCAAGGCAACGAUCAAUAGCUGUUCUUAGAGGAAGACCAGCCACAUUGGGACUGAGACACGGCCCAGACUCCUACGGGAGGCAGCAGUAGGGAAUCUUGCACAAUGGGGGAAACCCUGAUGCAGCGAUGCCGCGUGAGUGAAGAAGGCCUUUGGGUUGUAAAACUCUUUCGUCGGGGAAGAAAAUGACUGUACCCGAAUAAGAAGGUCCGGCUAACUUCG
rnacentral:rRNA from 1 species